GCGUUCGUAGAAAGGAGAGAAGGUUGGCAUCUCCACUGACUGGGACAGGAACAACCUUCGGGCUUUACCUGUUAUCGGGAGAGUGUGUCUGUGUACUUUGAGUUUAAUACUUUGA
rnacentral:ncRNA from 1 species